rnacentral:rRNA from 1 species
UGGGGGAGCACAUUGUAGCAUUGUGCCAAUUCAUCCAUUAACUUCUCAGUAACAGAUACAAACUCAUCACGAACGUCAGAAGCAGCCUUAUGGCCGUCAACAUACAUAUCACCAUUAUCGAACUCAACGCCCUGCAUACGAAAAGACAGAAUCUCUUCCAAGAGCUUGAUGCGGUUAUCCAUCUGCUUAUGGAAGCCAAGCAUUGGGGAUUGAGAAAGAGUAGAAAUGCCACAAGCCUCAAUAGCAGGUUUAAGAGCCUCGAUACGCUCAAAGUCAAAAUAAUCAGCGUGACAUUCAGAAGGGUAAUAAGAACGAACCAUAAAAAAGCCUCCAAGAUUUGGAGGCAUGAAAACAUACAAUUGGGAGGGUGUC